rnacentral:rRNA from 1 species
CGAAGGGGCGAAGCGUUGUUCGGAAUCACUGGGCGUAAAGGGCGCGUAGGCGGACAUUUAAGUCAGGGGUGGAAAUCCCGGGGCUCAACCCCGGAACUGCCCUUGAUACUGGUGUCUUGAGACCGGAAGAGGUAAGUGGAACUGCGAGUGUAGAGGUGAAAUUCGUAGAUAUUCGCAAGAACACCAGUGGCGAAGGCGGCUUACUGGUCCGGAUCUGACGCUGAGGCGCGAAAGCGUGGGGAGCAAACAGGAUU